rnacentral:misc_RNA from 1 species
GAAAAUCCUUCCCUAAUAUAUGUGGACAAAGCUUGCUUGUAAUUUAUGUACAUAAAAAUAGAUGGCCAUGAAGACAAUGGCAGGUUAGGAAAAAAUGAUGCAAGAGAACAAUGAUGCAGAACAAUAGUUUCCACAAUGUGAAAGUUUUAUGCACUAUCCAAUAUCCAUAUAUCCAUCUGUAACCCAUAAAAAUCCAUCAAGAUAAGCAUAAAGAUGUUUGAUUCAUGGGACACAUCUACAAAACAACUAUUUUUAUUACAACUGCCAUGCACUUUGUCUAUACUCAAAAACAACCAAUACCAUCCAAUUUUAGCAAAACUUGAAUUAUGAAGAUAUUUAAUCAGAUAAAGUACAAUAAAAACACAAAUUACAAAGGUCAUGAAUCAUACAAGAAAACAAAGAUAACUAAAUAGCACAUAGCAACAACACAAAAACAUAUCUUUCAUCACCAUAAAUAACUUUAAAUUCGUGAGAAGCAAAUCGAAGCAUACUAUAGAAACCUUAAUUC